CCUACGGGUGGCAGCAGUAGGGAAUAUUGCUCAAUGGGGGAAACCCUGAAGCAGCAAAGCCGCGGGGAGGAAGAAGGUGUUAGGAGGGGAAAAGCCGUUUGGUAGAGAAGAGAAGGACGGUAUGUAAAGAAGAAGCACCGGCAAACGCCGGGCCAGCAGCCGCGGUAAUACGGAGGGCGCAAGCGUUACUCGGAAUGACUGGGCGUAAAGAGCGCGUAGGCGGGAUGGCAAGUCCGAUGUGAAAUCCUCUGGCUUAACCCUAGAACAGCCUUUGAAACUGUUAUUCUAGAGUAUGGGAGAGGUAGGUGGCAUUCUUGGUGUAGCGGUCAAAUCCGUAGAGAUCACGAGGAAUACUCAUUGCGAAGGCGACCUGCUAGAGCAUAACUGACGCUGAUGCGCGAAAGCGUGGGGAGCAAACAGGAUUAGAUACCCUGGUAGUC
rnacentral:rRNA from 1 species